UCCAUUUAAUUCUGUGCUAAGGUGCUGAGGCGGCAACUGCGCUGGUGGCGCCAAGGCCGAGCCCCAGGUGGAGGUGAACCUCCGCAGGCGCUGCCGGCCCCUGCAGCAGUCUGGGAAGUCUCGGCGGUUCUGCGCAUUGCCGGGGUGAGGAUGCGGCUCUUCUUUCGGCUGCUCAAGCAGCCGGUCCCCAAACACAUCGAGCGCUACUCCCGCUUCUCUCCAUCGCCGCUGUCAAUCAAACAGUUCCUGGACUUCGAGGAUGCCAUUCCAACACCAGCAGGCUGAAUGCGGUUGUGAAACACCUGAAAAUAAAACAAAAAUGGAACUCAGCAUUGCCGAAGGAAAAUCAAGGUGACUUAGGCUCUCAAAGCCAAGCUCUGUUUAAAUCUUUUGACUUAAAAAUGUCAUGGGAUGGUGUCAGUUGUGUAUAAAAAGUGAAAAAUUGGUAGAACCUUCUGGGAAGACCAGCUAUACAGAAUGUGAUGUUGUCUAUAAUUGGGGGAAACAUACAGGAUAGAAAGAGAGGUUUAGGUUAAAUAUUUAAGGCGAUGCCAAAUUAAAUUU